rnacentral:misc_RNA from 1 species
UGUGCUCUUUGGGCUCCCUCUCAAAACUCCAUGCGGUAUGCAUAUUCUGAUGAUGUGGGAGAAGAGUUUGACAGAGAUGACAGUUCUUUGACUCUCAUUAAACCAUCUGCAAUGCCUUCGAAGGAUGUUCGAAGUGCACCAGAAGCUAGACUAGUGCAAGCCAACAACGGCGCAUCUAAUGGUGAUGUUGAAGAAGACAAGACAGCCUAAAGUAUAUCCCCCCAAAAAAUGUAAUUUUGAGUUAGGCUUAAUUAUUUGAUUUGUGGCCUUGCAAUCCUUCUCAUGCUCUCUGAAGACAUUGAGAACAUUUUAGGAGCAAAGUUUCAUGACAAAGAAAAGUUACACUUUGAGAUUGCAACAGGUGAGAGCUGU